GAUGAAGAACGUAGCGAAAUGCGAUAAGUAAUGUGAAUUGCAGAAUUCAGUGAAUCAUCGAAUCUUUGAACGCACAUUGCGCCCGCUGGUAUUCCGGCGGGCAUGCCUGUUCGAGCGUCAUUUCAACCCUCAAGCUCUCCGGAGUUUGGUGUUGGGGCGCCUGGGGCUUUUCGACCUCAGGGCCCUCAAGUCCAUCGGCGGGACCGCCAGGACACUGAGCGCAGUAGUAUUAUUUCGCUCGGUAGGAUCUUCCACGGCGGGUCGCUCUGGCCGCUAAACCCCCCAAUUCUCACCAAAGGUUGACCUCGGAUCAGGUAGGAAUACCCGCUGAACUUAAGCAUAUCAAUAAGCGGAGGA
rnacentral:misc_RNA from 1 species